rnacentral:rRNA from 1 species
GGGGGGGGGGGGCGGGGGGGGGGGCGCGGGCGGGGCGGGCGGGGGGGCCGUGCGGGGGGGGGGUGGGCGGGGGGCGAGGGGGGGAGUAACACGUGGGUAGCCUGCCCUUGACUGUGGGAUAACUUCAGGGAGCUGGGGCUAAUACCGGAUAGGAGCUCCUGCUGCAUGGUGGGGGGUGGAAGGUUUCGGCGGUUGGGGCUGGACUCGCGGCUUAUCAGCUCGUUGGUGGGGUAGUGGCUUGCCAAGGCUUUGACGGGUAGCCGGCCUGAGAGGGUGACCGGCCACAUUGGGACUGAGAUACGGCCCAGACUACUACGGGAGGCAGCAGUGGGGAAUAUUGCACAAUGGGCGGAAGCCUGAUGCAGCAACGCCGCGUGCGGGAUGACGGCCUUCGGGUUGUAAACCGCUUUCGCCUGUGACGAAGCGUGAGUGACGGUAAUGGGUAAAGAAGCACCGGCUAACUACGUG